rnacentral:misc_RNA from 1 species
UUUCCGUAGGUGAACCUGCGGAAGGAUCAUUAUCGUGCAAAAUGUGAGGGGAAUGCUAGGGAUCUCGCUGACCCCAAAGUCGUGCACGCCCGAGUGCGUGCUCUUGAGUAAUAAUCCCUCGCACCCUUUGUGCACCACCGCGUGGGCAGCCCUCGGGAUCACCUCGGAGGGGGGCGCGCGUUUUCACACAAACCCCCCUUUUAAAAGUGUAGAAUGAGCACAUUUAUGCAAUAAAUACAACUUUCAACAACGGAUCUCUUGGCUCUG